AUUUUUAAAAGCAUUAAAAGCGAAUUAAAAACACAUUUAAAGACAAACUUGUCUUGGAAGUUGUUGUGCAAACACAUCGGGGUUAAGAUGUUGCUAACAUUGUUGACUAGUGUUGCCGCCCUGGUGCUGCUCUGGCUGUUCAAGCAAUGGCAGGACAUGAGGCAAUUCUGGGCCAAAAGGCACGUGCCUCACAUGCCACCGCACCCGCUGCUUGGCAGCCUUACAUUUAUGAUGAAGAAAAACCCGGGCGUAUGGAUGCGGGAGUUGUCGGAACGUUUCCGCACGCCGUACGUUGGUGUGUGGUGGUUCGGA